rnacentral:rRNA from 1 species
AGAGUUUGAUCCUGGCUCAGAACAAACGCUGGCGGCGUGCCUAACACAUGCAAGUCGUACGAGAAAGUCCGCUUCGGUGGAUGAGUAAAGUGGCGCACGGGUGAGUAACGCGUGGAUAAUCUACCCUUUAGUCUGGAAUAACUUAUCGAAAGGUGAACUAAUACCGGAUAAUAUCCCGAUUUCUUCGGCGAUCGGGAUCAAAGAAGGCCUCUGCUUGCAAGCUUUCACUGAAGGAUGAGUCCGCGUACCAUUAGCUAGUUGGCAGGGUAAUGGCCUACCAAGGUUAUGAUGGUUAGCUGGUCUGAGAGGAUGAUCAGCCACACUGGAACUGAAACACGGUCCAGACUCCUACGGGAGGCAGCAGUGAGGAAUAUUGCGCAAUGGGGGCAACCCUGACGCAGCAACGCCGCGUGAGUGAGGAAGGUUUUCGGAUUGUAAAGCUCUGUCGAGCGGAAAGAAGUGCAUGGUGGUUAAUAUCCAUCAUGCUUGACGGUACCGCUAAAGGAAGCACCGGCUAACUCCGUGCCAGCAGCCGCGGUAAUACGGGGGGUGCAAGCGUUGUUCGGAAUCAUUGGGCGUAAAGCGCGUGUAGGCGGCUGGACAAGUCAGAUGUGAAAGCCCUGGGCUUAACCCAGGAAGUGCAUUUGAAACUGUUCAGCUAGAGUAAGGGAGAGGAAAGUGGAAUUCCUGGUGUA